rnacentral:rRNA from 1 species
AGGGAAUAGAUACCCGGGUAGUCCUGGCAGUAAACGGUGCACGUUUGGUGUGGGAGGUUUCGACCCCUUCCGCGCCGGAGCUAAACGCGUUAAAAACGUGCCGCCUGGGGAGUACGGUCGCAAGAUUAAAACUCAAAGAAAUUGACGGGGGCCCGCACAAGCGGUGGAGUAUGUGGCUUAAUUCGAUGCAAACGCGAAGAACCUUACCUGGCCUUGACAUGCAUCUCUAAGUUGGUGAAAGCCAGCGAGUGUAGCAAUACACAAUUUGCACAGGUGCUGCAUGGCCGUCGUCAGCUCGUGUCGUGAGAUGUUGGGUUAAGUCCCGCAACGAGCGCAACCCCUGUGUCCUGUUGCCACCCUCUGUAAAGGGGCGCACUCUGGACAGACUGCCCUGUGAAACGGGGAGGAAGGUGGGGAGUGACGUCAAGUCAAUAUGGCCUUACGGCUAGGGCUGCACACGUACUACAAUGCCCACGUACAGAAUGAACCGAAACCGCGAGGUGGAGGAAAGUACUAGUAAAACUAGGGCGUCAGUUCGGAUUGUAGGCUGCAAC